rnacentral:tRNA from 1 species
CAGGGAGACAACAAAAUGUUUAAUAUUAUUAUUUUGUCACCUUAGGUCGAUCGGUAUCUCACGUUCUUAAUUAAUUAAGAAUUUUAUUUCCUAAGUUUUUCUAGGUCACACCCAUUAUUUUUCCUGGGCCAUUAGCUCAGGUGGUUAGAGCGCACCCCUGAUAAGGGUGAGGUCCCUGGUUCAAGUCCAGGAUGGCCCAUAUCUCUAUGUUGGGGGUAUAGCUCAGUUGGUAGAGCGCCUGCUUUGCAAGCAGGAUGUCAGCGGUUCGAGUCCGCUUACCUCCACUGAUUACCACCUCUUCCAUAUAUUGUAGAAAGGAAAUUUUUUUGAAGUGUGAUCAUAUUCUGAACGAAUCUAGCUUCCUAAUGAAAGUAUUAAGAUGCUGGACUCAUUGAAUUAAUUUCAUUGUUUUCAGAGAACCUUGACAACUGCAUAGAUUAUUUUUAAAGACAAUAAGCAUCUUUAAUGAUGCAGAUUUAUUAUUUGUGCGAAUGCAUUAAUAACAAUUCUAUUAAGCUGAUGCUUCAAUUUUGAAGUUAUU